rnacentral:misc_RNA from 1 species
GUAGGUGAACCUGCGGAAGGAUCAUUACAAAUCCAAAAAAUUACCCGUUAAAAUGUUUUCGGCCUUGGGGCCUGGCUAUUCUUAUUAUUAUCUCUUCACAGUCGCUCGCUACUUUUUUCCUUCUUCCUCCUUUGCUGUCGUCUCUCUCUCGCAAGAGAGGAGGAUGGAUGGUUAGGGUGAGAGGGGCAAGUAGGGGGUAGUGUCUGGAUAUAUUAGUAGAUGAUGACAGUGCCAUUCCAAACCAAGGUUC